CGAGUUUUGAAGUUGGGUUUGAGCUGGUGUCUUUACGGAUGCAUGUGCUCGACCCUCACUCUCAAAUCCAUUUACACCUGUGCACCUUCAAAGUCGUAGUCCUCCGUUAUGGGAGCCGCAAUUGUCGAAAGUCAUUUGCCUGGGACUCGACUUUGCCCAAUUAUCACAAACUAUAUGCGCUGUUUUGUAGAAUGUAUUAGCCCGUAAUUGGGUGAAAUGUAAUA
rnacentral:misc_RNA from 1 species